rnacentral:rRNA from 1 species
AUUGAACGCUGGCGGCAGGCCUAACACAUGCAAGUCGAACGAGUGGCGGACGGGUGAGUAAUGUCGGGGAAACUGCCUGAUCGAGGGGGAUAACUACUGGAAACGGUAGCUACUACCGCAUACCAUCAGAUGUGCCCAGGUGGGAUUAGCUAUUUGGUGGGGUAACGGCUCACAAAGGCGACGAUCCCCAGCUGGUCUGAGAGGAUGACCGGCCACCCGGGAACUGAGACACGGUCCAGACUCCUACGGGAGGCAGCAGUGGGGAAUAUUGCACAAUGGGCGCAAGCGUGAUGCAGCCAUGCCGCGUGUAUGAAGAAGGCCUUCGGGUUUUAAAGUACUUUCAGCGGGGAGGCGUUACCCGCAGAAGAAGCACCGGCUAACUCCGUGCCAGCAGCCGCGGUAAUUC